rnacentral:tRNA from 1 species
CCGGUCGUAGGUGAACGGAAGGGGCACGCGUCGGUUGGAAGCCAGCGAAUUCGGUCGCUACCGGUUGUUCGAGCUGAUCGGCCAGG